rnacentral:rRNA from 1 species
UCGAGGAUCUUCGGCAAUGGGCGCAAGCCUGACCGAGCGACGCCGCGUGUGCGAUGAAGGCCUUCGGGUUGUAAAGCACUGUCGAGAGAAAGAAAGCCGCAAGGUUGAUCGAUCUCUGGAGGAAGCACGGGCUAAGUUCGUGCCAGCAGCCGCGGUAAGACGAACCGUGCGAACGUUGUUCGGAUUCACUGGGCUUAAAGGGCGCGUAGGCGGGCAUCAGGGUCCGGGGUGAAAGCCCCCAGCUCAACUGGGGAAUGGCCUUGGAAACCGGAUGCCUCGAGGGAGGUAGGGGCAGGUGGAACUUCCGGUGGAGCGGUGAAAUGCGUAGAUAUCGGAAGGAACGCCGGUGGCGAAAGCGACCUGCUGGACCUCUUCUGACGCUGAGGCGCGAAAGCUAGGGGAGCAAACGGGAUUAGAUACCCCCGUAGUCC